UUUAUGGAAAAAGAAACUGACGUGCGUCGUAGGUCGUGUUAAUAAAUUUUCCAUCGAGAAAUUUCUAGCAACUGGAUUGUGAAAACGUGAUCAAUAGAUCACCUCAGAUUUUUAUCAUUGUCACGAAAGUCGUAAUCAAAUUUACGGUAAUUCGAGCCUAGGGUUAUUUUCGAGCAAUAUUUAUUAUUGUCGUUAAUAAUAAUUAAAUAAAAAUAAUUUAAUUGAUAAAGAAGAUAUAAAAAAUAAAAAUGUCUCUCUUUGGAUCAUUGAUGGGUGAUAUUGAAGACGACCCAAUUUUCGGGUCACACAUGCAAUCCAUGCAAUCGAUGAAUAGCAUGAUGAACAUCUUCAGCAAUCCUUUUGGGAUGAUGGCACCAGCACUGAUGGGUCAAGGUCAAAGUAUGAUGGGCCAACAUCAAGGAGGUCCUGUUAACAACAUGCAUCAGAUGAUGUCUUUUGGAUUUCCUAUGCCAACGAUGAAUAUGAAUGCUAUGUUUUCUAAUUUUGAUAACAUGGCUAGCGGUAACUGCAUGACAUCAACAUCAAUAAUGACCUACACAAACGGCCCAGAUGGUCGUCCCCAAGUGUACCAAGCAUCAAAAUCAAUGCGAGCUGGCCCAAAUGGCGUCAAAGAAACCAAAGAAUCUGUUUUUGACUCCCGAGCCGGCACCAAAAAGAUGGCCAUCGGUCACCAUAUUGGCGAAAGAGCUCACAUCAUCGAGAAGAAGAAGGAUUUGCGUAACGGCGAUGAAGAAGAACACCAAGAGUUCAUCAACCUUGACGACGACGAAGCUGAAAAUUUCAACCAAGAAUGGGAACAGCGUAUUCGUCAAGCUCGUCCUCGAGCCAGUGAUUCUCAGGCAGCUAUUGAUUACUCGCCCCACAGAAGACAUCAUCGUGGAGAACGACAGCUUGCGUUGACUGAUGGAACACCAAGUCGACAGAGUGAACGGUCUAGAGUACCAAGUUCAAGACGAAGUAUUCGAGCCUUGACGAACAGUAUUAAAAAUAAAAUCAGGUUCUCCCAAAAGUAUUAAAAAUAUAGUUAAUUAUUCCCGAGGGUGGUGACGUUUUAUUAAAAAUAAAAAUACAACCGCAAGUCAAAAUGAUAGUACUGAAACGGAAUCUAAGCCAAAAGCUACUGAGACAUCCGGAAGACGAAAACAUGAAGAUGAUACCGAAGAUGAUGAAGAUAAUAAUAAGAAGAAA
rnacentral:misc_RNA from 1 species